UUUUGUGGUUACUAUUUCUUCAAUGUGAUGCUGUGGAGUCUCCUGUGUCUGCAUAUCUUCUGGGCCUACCUCAUCCUCGGCAUGGCUCAUAAGUUAAUCACAGGGAAGGUAAGACCUGUGGUUUCCUUAUUCUUGUAGAUCUGAUUGGUUGGAUGGUGAGGAGUAACAAUUUAGUCCUAAAUAAUGAAGAUGCUCUUGGUGACCUAUGUUUUAAAAAACAAACAAAAAUAGUAUAGAUCAUGUGGUUAGACAUAACGCAAUAUUAUCAUGUCACUCGUAACGCAAGGGUGGAGAAUUACAUUUCUUGGAACAUUAGAUUUUCUUUCGGGAAAUAUGUCCUCCCCAUUAAAUGGUUUUAUAUCACAAUGCAGUUGGGCUGACAACUGUCCAGAAAAGUAAAGAGUUUCUGGCAAAUGUCCGUUGGCAUUCACAAUAGCAAUUAAUGGUGUUUUAAAGAAUAUUCAGAGCUUGUAGAAUACAGAAGCUUAGUUUUCAAAUGAUCUGAUGUGUUUGGAUUUUUUUUGGGAGGGGGUCUUUUAUCUUCCACUUACCCUUUCCCUUCCAGUUUGUUCCCCCUUUCCGUUUGUGAAGAAAGUUGCAUCCAGUCGUUUAUUUCCUUCCUUUCUUCUUUCACCCUUCCAGUGUUUGUUAUUGUUAUUAUUUUAUUGAGAGGUCCUUAUGGUGGCCAUCUUCUGAAAUACACUAGAUCAGGGGUAGGCAACCUUUGGCACUCCAGAUUUUGUGGACUACAUCCCCCAUAAUACUCUUACACCCAUAAUGCUGGGAAAGCAUCAUGGGAGGUGUAGUCCAAAACAUCUGCAGUGCCGAAGGUUGCCUAUGCCUGCACUAGAUUUUGGGCAAGUUUUUGCUUUUGUAUUGACAUUGGUCUUUCUUGCCAGCUUGAAAAAGAUGAAAGAAGUGACUGCGAUGAGUCUGAUAUUCCACAUUGAGGACGAACGAGAACUUGUUAAGAAUGGGGCAGCAGUUUCCAAUGACUAUUCUGUGCAAAACAAUGAUCACCACAAAGUAGAUUGACCUCUACCUACGAGAUGGUUGAUCCUCACAACCCUUGCUGGAGGAAGAAGUUGUAAGGAACACAUUAUGAGACAUAGUUUUACUCUAAACUUUUUAUUCACACUAAUGUAACCUGUUACAUCAUCACAAGCAAGGACUCUGAAUGACAUUUCAAAGACUUUUUGUUCAAGCAAAUGGAGUCUUUGAAAGGUUGAGGUGAUAAGCUUCUGCUUGAACAAUUUUGAUUAAAAGAAAAUAUUGUGUUCUAAGCAUUUGGUACCAAUAUUCACACACCAACUAGCAAACCCUCAAGACUUUAUGAACUUGCCCACUCUCUAAAAAUGCCUUUCACAGAGGAGAUGAGCAAACCAAAGACCUACCUUUUAGGUAAUAUCUUUUCUAAUUUCCAAAGGUCAUAUGACCUGGAAACGGAAUGACUAUCUGUGCCCG